AGUGAGGAAUAUUGGACAAUGGGUGAGAGCCUGAUCCAGCCAUCCCGCGUGAAGGACGACGGCCCUAUGGGUUGUAAACUUCUUUUGUAUAGGGAUAAACCUACCCUCGUGAGGGUAGCUGAAGGUACUAUACGAAUAAGCACCGGCUAACUCCGUGCCAGCAGCCGCGGUAAUACGGAGGGUGCAAGCGUUAUCCGGAUUUAUUGGGUUUAAAGGGUCCGUAGGCGGAUCUGUAAGUCAGUGGUGAAAUCUCACAGCUUAACUGUGAAACUGCCAUUGAUACUGCAGGUCUUGAGUGUUGUUGAAGUAGCUGGAAUAAGUAGUGUAGCGGUGAAAUGCAUAGAUAUUACUUAGAACACCAAUUGCGAAGGCAGGUUACUAAGCAACAACUGACGCUGAUGGACGAAAGCGUGGGGAGCGAA
rnacentral:rRNA from 1 species